rnacentral:snoRNA from 1 species
AUUCCGUGAUGAGGGUAUCUUCGUAAUAGUUCUUUAAACCUCUCCCAUGCCUCAUACAAGGACUCAUCAUCCAAUUGUUGGAAGGUAGUAAUCUUGUUCCUCAACUU